UACGUAGGGUGCAGGCGUUAAUCGGAAUUACUGGGCGUAAAGCGUGCGCAGGCGGUUUGCUAAGACAGGUGUGAAAUCCCCGGGCUUAACCUGGGAACUGCGCUUGUAACUGGCAAGCUGGAGUGUGGCAGAGGGGGGUGGAAUUCCACGUGUAGCAGUGGAAUGCGUAGAGAUGUGGAGGAACACCGAUGGCGAAGGCAGCCCCCUGGGCUAACACUGACGCUCAGGCACGAAAGCGUGGGGAGCAAACAGG
rnacentral:rRNA from 1 species